UAUCUAUUAUACAUACAGUGUCAUAAAUAGAAUACGCCUUUAUUACAGACAGUAAAAUAUGCCGCUGAUGUUUCUGUGACAUUUUAUUGGCUUACGAGGCUCACGUGCUCCAAGGUUAGCGUGAGACUUUUGCGACAUUGUGGGAACGCCCAAUGCUUUACUUUAGGCGCCACAAAUUACUGCAGUGAGUGAGGACGGGAUUUUAACUUCAAGCUUUCGGCACUCGGCAGUUAUCAGCACAUCUGUUGUCACGGUUAUUCAUAGAAAUCUGGCCUGUACUUAAGAUGGAAUCUAAGAUGUAGUUGUAUGCAGGGUUCCAACGGAUUACAAACCACGUUCUACUCUGAGUUUGACCGACAUCUUCCUAGCCUGAUGACCCUAUUCAGAUAGAAGGCAGCCAGAACCGGGAAGACAUCAGAUUCUUUAAGUGAAAUCUUAAGAGUCCAUGAUGAACAGGAGUUCCAUGACAUGCACAUCAAGUGUGUCACUGUUGUUCAUGCCCUUCCGGUGUAUCUACGUGUGGAAAUCACUGGGUUUUUAAGGACCUGCAUGGACACUGAUAAGCUGAUUAUCUGAUGAGCCAGAGCUUUCAGAUGUUGCAGUGGCCCUCCUCACAGUCGUCAAAGAUAAUGACACAAGUCCAGUUCACUUUCAACAUGUGAAAAACUUGUCAUCGAGAGUGAGAUUGUGGGCAGCCUCUCUAGAUUUGCUGAUAUCUUCCUGGUAAUGUUUGGACUGAUUUAUGCACUGCAUCUCAACUUUCCCAGGGGACUGACCAACACUUUUGAAUUCACCCAAGUUACAGAGUCUCAAAAAUGAUUUGAUGCGAAUGUAGACAUUUAUUGUAAAAAUGACUUAAGGCCUGGCAGUUUCUCAGUAGUUCAAUGUAAUUUGUUUUUGUGAAGAUACUGGUUAACAGGUUUCUGCAUUUUUUCCCCACAAUGUGCAUUUAUUAAUGUUAUUUGUCAUUAAUACAGCUCUUGUCCUUAAGAGUUAAGUACAGUUGGGUAGUACUUGAUAACCAAAUAGGUAAUUUAGUUUUAAAUGGUUCAUGUUUUUGUAAAGGUUCAUGCAGGUUCGUGAAUUUGUAAUGUCAGAGGUGUGGUCGUAAAUCUGCUUUUCAGGUUUUUUAUCCUUUUAAAUUAACACUGCAGUGUCAAAUUUAGCUUUGAGGCUUACAUUUUUGAGUAUUGUGUUUUAAAU